rnacentral:rRNA from 1 species
CCCUUAGAUGUUCUGGGCUGCACGCGCGCUACACUGAUGCAUUCAACGAGUUUCUUCCUGGUCCGAGAGGAAUGGGUAACCUUUUGAAAGUGCAUCGUGAUAGGGAUAGACUAUUGCAAUUAUUGGUCUUCAACGAGGAAUUCCUAGUAGACGUAGUUCAUCAGACUGCAUCGAUUACGUCCCUGCCCUUUGUACACACCGCCCGUCGCUCCUACCGAUUGAAUGCUCAGGUGAGCCAUUCGGACCUUCAUCAUGCCGGUUUCCGGUUUUGAUGAGGGAAAGUCUUGCGAACCUUAUCAUUUAGAGGAAGGAGAAGUCGUAACA